rnacentral:ncRNA from 1 species
GUGCAUUUGAAGUAGGGAAAAUUCUGUAAAUUCAGAUACUACACCCGUAACGGUUAAAAGUCCGAACGCCUACAUGAAAUGAUGCCCAUGAAGCGGGGAGGCUUCUUAAUGAUGGGGGAAAA